CUGAAAAAUAACCUUCUUGCUGUUCAUGGUUAUGUCUCGACUCGCUUUUACUACCCUUUCGCGUUUCUCAUUCUACAGAUGCAAAUCGGGGUCGUGUCAGACAAACGUUUGAACAGAAAUGAGAGAACCCAAUAGUUAGGGAAAGGCCGCGAUCACAGAGCCAAAUGACUUCCAUAUAUACGCGAUUCGAAGGAGCACGUAUCAUGCCCA